AUGCAGGGGGAACCGAGCGAGGACUUGGCACAGCGACAGGACGUAGGACUUGGGCGGUGGAGCUCCACACGACGACCGGAUGGGGACUUGACGGCGGGAUCCGACGAGGAGGCGUCGGAGAUGGUUGGAUCUGGCCAGAGGCGGACGUUGGUGGCUUCCGCGAGCGGCGGCCGUUCCUGCAGAGAUGAACUACAGAGAGAGAGGGAGAUCAUGAGAGAGAUCGAAGGGGAAGGAGAGGUGCAGCCUGGUGGCGGCCACCGACGGCAGGGCUCGCCGGAGCUGCUGCUUGCGGGGGUGCUCGGGGCAGGGCUGCAUGGGCUCAGGAAGCAGGGGCGGGGUGGAUCGAGGAAGGCAGGUGGCGACUGGGGGGUGCUGAAAUCUAUGGAGGUGGAUCUUGAGGAAGACAAGAUGAGUGGAUCUAGUUGGUGGCUGAGGAAAACGAGGAGGAUGCGGCGGCGGCCGAGGGAAUGGAUGGGACAAACCCCUAAAAUCUAG
rnacentral:rRNA from 1 species